rnacentral:piRNA from 1 species
UGUAGAAUUAAAACGCACGGAUGCCA